rnacentral:rRNA from 1 species
UACGAAGGGGGCUAGCGUUGUUCGGAAUUACUGGGCGUAAAGGGCGCGUAGGCGGUGCAUCAAGUCAGGCGUGAAAGCCCCGGGCUCAACCUGGGAACCGCGCUUGAGACUGGCGCGCUCGAGUUCGGGAGAGGAUGGUGGAAUUCCCAGUGUAGAGGUGAAAUUCGUAGAUAUUGGGAAGAACACCAAUGGCGAAGGCAGCUCUCUGGGACGGUACUGACGCUGAGACGCGAAAGCGUGGGGAGCGAACAGG